GAUAUUGUUAAGAUUUAUCGGUAGUAGAGGGCAUGGUGCCAUUAGCUGUGGGUAAGGUAACGGCUUACCAAGGCAACGAUGGCUAGGGGACUGAGAGGUUUGUCCCCCACACUGGAACUGAGACACGGACCAGACUCUUACGGGAGGCAGCAGUGAGGAAUAUUGGUCAAUGGACGAGAGUCUGAACCAGCCAAGUCGCGUGAAGGAUGACUGCCCUUAUGGGUUGUAAACUUCUUUUUUAUAAGGAUAAAAUACACUACGUGUAGUGUUUUGCAGGUAUUAUAAGAAUAAGCAUCGGCUAACUCCGUGCCAGCAGCCGCGGUAAUACGGAGGAUGCGAGCGUUAUCCGGAUUUAUUGGGUUUAAAGGGUGCGCAGGCGGGAUAAUAAGUCAGCGGUGAAAUCUACAGGCUCAACCUGUAAACUGCCGUUGAAACUGUUGUUCUUGAGUAUGGAUGAAGUAGGCGGAAUUCGUUGUGUAGCGGUGAAAUGCAUAGAUAUAACGAGGAACCCCGAUUGCGUAGGCAGCUUAGUAAGCCAUAACUGACGCUCAAGCACGAAAGCGUGGGUAUACGGACAGGAUUAGAUACCCUGG
rnacentral:rRNA from 1 species